GCCUGGCUGGCUCAGUCAGUGGAGCAUGUGACUCUUGAUUUCAUGGUUGUGGGUUCAAGCCCCACGUUGGGUG
rfam:Felis catus isolate Cinnamon breed Abyssinian chromosome A2, whole genome shotgun sequence.